UAAAGUAGCGGUCCCCUCCCCCCAUUUCUCUCCCCCACACUUUCUUAUUCUUCCUCCAUUUUUAGCCAAGAAAAAUAUUUCCAAGACUCCUUCUUUACACACCCAAAAGCUAGAGAAGUACAUCAAGUCUUUCCAAACUUCAAAGUUCAAGCAUCAAGUAGGAAAAGCUUCAAGGAAUCCAAAGCCUCAUCUACUCCAUUUUCCUUGGUUUUCUUGGAGUAAGCUUCUAACCUUCAUUUUGUGUGUAUAUAGCAUGAUAUGUGUUAUGCAUGUGUGUUUUGAUGCAUGAAAAAUCCAUCCUCUCAUGUGCAUGCAAAUUUCAAAAAAAUGGUUCUGGAGAAAGCAAGAAAAUCUUCAAGUUAUUGUCACGACCGGCCCUAAUUAAGGAUAAUUAAGCCGGGGAAACCGUGACUAAGGGAGGGAGAUUAGAAGCGGGGUAGAAAGGGGGAUAAUCAAAUAUGGAGGAUCGCAUUCUAUCAUUGCUAACAAAAGGAAUAUUUAUAAUAUAACGAAGGUUUAGUCAUAUUGACUCAAAUAAACUAGUAAGUUCGAAUAAUUCCAACUUAGCUAAAAUAUCAUAAUACUUUUGAGUACGCAGCGGAAUAAGGUUCUGAUCACAUGUAUGAAGACAUGUAUCCCCAGAGUUCAUUAAUACAUAAGGAUAAGACAAAAGACUCCGCUCGUCACUUCAUCACCACCAGUAGCUGCUCAACCUGCACAUUUAGAAAUAUAUGCAGGGCUUAGUACAAAAGUACUCAGUGGCACGUAAGCCUAAGUAUAAAAAUACAUGCUUCAAAACUGUAAAUUGUCAUGCCAUCAUAAACAGUACAGCAAGGGAGUUUUCGUGAAAUAGGCCCAAGCUUACUAAAUUCUUUUGUGAUUCUUAAAGUUCGACUGAUCAGUCUAAGUUCUCUUGUAAUCUAUCAUAUCUGAAGCUGUGUGCCGGAGAGGUGGCCACCUCUCACGGUCACUUGACCGGCCAACCCGCUAGAUGACUCACGGUCACUGGUGUACACUAGCCCUGGCAGGAUAGCUAUCAACUGCUCAGGACCCGAAUUCGAUUACAUAACUUGGCAAAGCCACAUCAGAUAGAUAUCAUACUGAAAUUGAAACAUUUUAUGGCAAGACAAUACUUGAAAUAACUUCAAUUCAAAGAUUUUGUAACGAGAUAGUUGUUCAAAUGUAACAUUUAAACUCAUUUGAUAUAUAUGAAAGUAAUGCCCACCUGACAGCACUCCUGCUGUGGUGCAGCUGCUCUCACUCUAAUUAUUGCUCGCGCGCUUGACCUUUAUUGGGGGAUUUAAAUAAGAUAUGUGCUCGAAGAGAAUCCUCGAUUAAUGAGAAUGCGAAAAUAAAUAUGCAUGACUCUCUUAUGCAUGAUUCAUUAUUCCUGCUUAAUAGUCCGGGAAAUCUACUAUUAAUCCUAACUCUCGGAUUAAAUAACUUAAAUAGGGCUCGUCGCACGAGGUCGAAUAAUAACUAUAAUGAAUCCGCUUAUCUAGAGUGUUCUAUCCCACUUGAUAAUUAUAAAAGGUCUCGCUUCGUAAUCGAUUAAAAAGAAAUAGCUCAAUCGAAUUAUUCGCUUAAUAAUUACGUAAUACGAAAUCUGUAAUUAAAACUAUCUGAGUCCAAUUAAUCGAUUAAUAAGGACUGAUCAUGAAUCGGGCUUAUAUAAAUAUGAGGGAAGUAAUAAUAAUAAUCCAAUAAUUAAAAGACUCAAACAUAAGGUAGCCAAAUAAUUAAAUAAGAGUGGGCUCAAAUGAAAAUAAAUAAUUGCAAUCCAUAUAUAAAUCUGGAGCCCAAGUAAAAUAAUUAAAUUUGGGCUGAAUUAUUAAAAUAGAAGGCCUAACUAAGAUAAGAUUAUUGGGCUCAAAUAAUUAAAUAAAAAUGGGCCCAAAUGAAAUGGUAGCAGCCCAACUAAAAUAAUUAACUCUAGGCCCAAGUAAAAAAUAAUUAGUAGCCCAAGGAAAAAUUAAAAUACAAUGGCUCAAAAUAAUUAAUGGUCCAAACCCAUUUAAACACAAGCCCAAUCUUUUAAAAGGUAAAGGCCCAAGGAAUGGCCCAACCUUUCCUUAUCUCUCCCACUCGGUCUCUCUCUUUUCUCAAACAGACGCUCCCUUCGGUUCUCUCUCUCUCUCGAUCCGUCUCCAGCCGAGGCGUCUGCCGCCGCCGCUCCGCAAUCCGGCGAGGCGGCGCUUCCCCGCUUCUUCCUUGUCAACGUCAAUCUCCCCCUAGAUUCUCAGGCGAAUUCCUCCAUUUUCACUCCGAGCCCUAGCUUCUCCCAAAAUCAAAAAUCGCCGCCGCCGCCGCCUAUGGAAGAAGGGCGAACGAUCACUGGUCGUCGCCCUGCUUGACUCGGACGCUCCCUUUGCCCAUCUCCUUUCGGCUUCAAUCGUUCUUCUCUCCCUCGAAUCUAUUGAACGAACGAAGAAGCCCUUAUUUCUGCCAGAGAAAAGAAUACCGCCUCCGCUGCAACUGGAAAGCCGACUUCGCCGCGCCGCUGCACUCGCGGCGGCGGCCGCUGGUCAUCAGGCCGCCGGCUGCUUCCCCCCCUCACCUCAUUUCCUUUCUUUCAAGGUCGAGGGAAAAGAAAAAGGGUAGAAACCCAAGUUCCUCAGUCAGAAAUCGUCUCCGUCGCCCCUGAAAUCUCCGGCGACAUUGUCACCUCAAGCCGGCGUCGCUCCGCCUGAAACUCCACUGCCGCGGCGCACCGAGCCGCUGCUGCUAUUUUCUCCGGGGUCGAAGGUUUGAGCAGCCGCGCUGUUGCUGGAUUCGGGCGAUGGGUACGCCGCCGCUGCUGCUACUCCAAAAUCGGCGAGGGGCCAUCGCUGUGAUCGAGAGUCGUCUGCCCUUCACCGCUCGACGCCGCCGACGCUGCUGUCCCCGCGAGUUGCCGCCCAGACGUCGUCUCUCGGCCGGACUAAGCAGGGCAGCGCCUCUCUUUUCUAAAAGCUAAGUUCUUAACCUCUAUUUUCUUUUCGUUGUUUAUUAGAAAUCAAUAUGCAUAGAGACUCCUUCAGGAGAAAAUCUGAACUCAUCGAUCUAAUAGUGAGCGUGUUACGGCUGUAUUCGUUCAUCUAUUAGUGACAGUGGUGAGCUAAAAUGGUUCAUUUCUAUUUGUUUGUGGAAUCAGAUUACAAAUGUAUAAACUGAUCAUACUCUGAGGAUGUGAGGUAUGUAUAUGAAGAGAGAGUGAAUCGAGAUAACAUAAAUUACCUUGAGGUAUUGGCGUUGGUUGGCUGCUGUGGGUGGAUUAAGUGGAAGGAUUCUGAAAUAAAUCAUACUUGUUCCUUUCAAUAAAUGCAGGUUGCAAAUGGAAGGAGAUGUGGGAUAAAUGCCAAGGUUUACCUUGAAGUUGGCAGGACAAUGGAUGAAGAUUUCUGCUCCUCCAAAAGCUUCUAAGUGCAGAAUGAGGAGGAUAGUGAUUUGGAGGUUGAAGUGUGAGGAAAAAGGGCUUGUUAGCUGCACACUUGAGUGUGCUAAGGAAUAGGUAGGAGGGUAGGGAGAAGGGG
rnacentral:lncRNA from 1 species